rnacentral:rRNA from 1 species
UACGGGGGGGGCAAGCGUUGUUCGGAAUUACUGGGCGUAAAGGGCUCGUAGGCGGCCAACUAAGUCAGACGUGAAAUCCCCAGGCUCAACCUGGGAACUGCGUCUGAUACUGGAUGGCUUGAAUCCGGGAGAGGGAUGCAGAAUUCCAGGUGUAGCGGUGAAAUGCGUAGAUAUCUGGAGGAAUACCGGUGGCGAAGGCGGCAGCCUGGACCGGCAUUGACGCUGAGGAGCGAAAGCCAGGGGAGCAAACGGG